AAUUAGCUUUCUUAUACA
rnacentral:snRNA from 1 species